rnacentral:tRNA from 3 species
GCGCCCGUAGCUCAACUGGAUAGAGCGGCAGACUUCGAAUCUGUAGGUUAAAGGUUCAAAUCCUUUCGGGCGUGCCA